rnacentral:tRNA from 1 species
AUGAUGUUAGUAAAAUAUUACAUUACCUUGUCAAGGUAAAAUCAUGAGUUAAAUUCUCAUACAUCUUA